rnacentral:rRNA from 1 species
GUGGGGAAUAUUGCACAAUGGGCGCAAGCCUGAUGCAGCCAUGCCGCGUGUAUGAAGAAGGCCUUCGGGUUGUAAAGUACUUUCAGCGGGGAGGAAGGCGGUGAGGUUAAUAACCUUGCCGAUUGACGUUACCCGCAGAAGAAGCACCGGCUAACUCCGUGCCAGCAGCCGCGGUAAUACGGAGGGUGCAAGCGUUAAUCGGAAUUACUGGGCGUAAAGCGCACGCAGGCGGUCUGUUAAGUCAGAUGUGAAAUCCCCGGGCUUAACCUGGGAACUGCAUUUGAAACUGGCAGGCUUGAGUCUCGUAGAGGGGGGUAGAAUUCCAGGUGUAGCGGUGAAAUGCGUAGAGAUCUGGAGGAAUACCGGUGGCGAAGGCGGCCCCCUGGACGAAGACUGACGCUCAGGUGCGAAAGCGUGGGGAGCAA